rnacentral:lncRNA from 1 species
CUGUAUUCCCCUACAUUUCUUUUUUUUUUUAAUUUAUAUAUAACAGCAGAAUGCAUUACAAUUCUUAUUACAUAGAGCACAAUUUUUCAUAUCUCUGGUUGUAUACAUAGUAUAUUUACACCAAUUUGUGUCUUCAUACAUGUACUUUGGACCCUACAUUUUCUUUUUAAAAGAGGAAUGUGGAACCUGUAGCUUUAUAAGCAUGAUACUUUGGGGAUGUUUUACUUUCUUGGGGAUGUAGCAGUUGGGCUUAGUUUUUAUAAUUUUUCAGUGGUCCCAUGGGAUUUGGACCAGCUCUAUCCCAGAGGCUCUUUCAACAUACCUCCGGUCUGUGGGGUAAAGUUCCACAGUGACCACAUCAAGAGAGUUCCAGGCUGAGAUGGUCAGUCCAUUGUAUAGACACAGCAUGCCUAUCAUCAUGGAUUCACUGGUGCCAAACCAAAGGAAGAAGCAGCUGAUCCCCGAGAGCACCAUGGAGCCACCUGCCAACAAUACAGAUACAAGGUGAAGUGUUUCCUGUCAUCUCAGCAGAGCAAGGACUCUUGAGCCUUUGAGAACUCUUAGGAAAACAAAAAUCCAUGGGAAAGUUGCAAACUGGGUUCCAUAAAGCUCCAGUACAAGGGUGUUCACCUAUAUGAAAGUUCAUCUCCCUGCUUUCUGAAAGCAGCAAGUAUGAAAUGCAC